rnacentral:tRNA from 1 species
GGUAGGUUGGCCGAGUGGUAAGGCGGUGGACUUAAGUUCCACUGGAGUUGAUCUCCGCGUGGGUUCGAACCCCACACCUACCA